rnacentral:rRNA from 1 species
UUCCGGUUGAUCCCGCCGGACCCGACCGCUAUCGGGGUGAGGCUAAGCCAUGCGAGUCUGCGUCUUCAGCCAUGAGAAGACGCGGCGCACGGCUCAGUAUCAUGUGGUUAACCUACCCUCAGGACGGGGAUACCCUCGGGAAACUGAGGCUAAUCCCCGAUAGAUGAGGGAUCCUGGAAUGGUUCCUCGUCCAAAAGGCACGCAUUUCAUGCUAUGCGUGUCGCCUGAGGAUGGGACCGCAUCCUAUCAGGUAGUUGGUGGGGUAACGGCCCACCAAGCCUAUAACGGGUACGGGCCCUGAGAGGGGGAGCCCGGAGAUGGGUACUGAGACAAGGACCCAGGCCCUACGGGGCGCAGCAGGCGCGAAACCUCCGCAAUGCGCGAAAGCGCGACGGGGCCACCCCGAGUGCCAUCCGCUGAGGGUGGCUUUUCCCUAGUGUAGUAAGCUAGGGGAAUAAGCGGGGGGCAAGUCUGGUGUCAGCCGCCGCGGUAAUACCAGCUCCGCGAGUGGUCGGGACGAUUAUUGGGCCUAAAGCGUCCGUAGCCGGCCUAACAAGUCUCUGGUUAAAUCUCAAGGCUCAACCUUGAGAUCGCUGGAGAUACUGUUAGGCUAGGGGGCGGGAGAGGUUGAGGGUACUUCGCGGGUAGGGGCGAAAUCCUAUAAUCCGCGAAGGACCACCAGUGGCGAAGGCGCUCAACUGGAACGCGCCCGACGGUGAGGGACGAAAGCUAGGGGAGCAAAGGGGAUUAGAUACCCCCGUAGUCCUAGCCGUAAACGAUGCGGGCUAGGUGUUGGGUUGGCUUCGUGCCAACCCAGUGCCGCAGCGAAGCGAUAAGCCCGCCGCCUGGGAAAGUACGGCCGCAAGGCUGAAACUUAAAGGAAUUGGGCGGGGGAGCACCACAAGGGUGAAGCCUGCGGUUUAAUU